rnacentral:rRNA from 1 species
CCUACGGGAGGCAGCAGUGGGGAAUAUUGGACAAUGGGCGAAAGCCUGAUCCAGCAAUUCCGCGUGUGUGAAGAAGGCCUUCGGGUUGUAAAGCACUUUAGUGGGGGAAGAAACAGCUUGGCCACACCAAGCCUUGACGGUACCCCAAGAAUAAGCACCGGCUAACUCUGUGCCAGCAGCCGCGGUAAUACAGAGGGUGCAAGCGUUAAUCGGAUUUACUGGGCGUAAAGGGUGCGUAGGUGGCUAUUUAAGUCGGAUGUGAAAGCCCGGGGCUCAACCUCGGAAUUGCAUUCGAUACUGAGUGGCUAGAGUUCGGUAGAGGGCGGCGGAAUUUCCGGUGUAGCGGUGAAAUGCGUAGAUAUCGGAAGGAACAUCAAUGGCGAAGGCAGCCGCCUGGGCCUGGACUGACACUGAGGCACGAAAGCGUGGGUAGCAAACAGGAUUAGAUACCCUGGUAGUCCACGCCGUAAACGAUANAGAUAGUAGUGUUCGUUACGUA